ensembl:lncRNA
GAAGGAAGGAAGGAAGGAAGGAAGGAAGGAAGGAGGGAGGGAGGGAGGGAGGGAGGGAGGAAGGAAGGAAGGAAGGAAGGAAGGAAGGAAGGAAGGAAGGAAGGAAGGAAGGAAGGAAGGAAUAGAGGAUUGAUGGACGCAUGGAAGUAUGGAAGGGUCAAUGAACAUAGUGAUGGAUGGACAGACAGGUCGCUAUAGACAGGUAGCUGAAGAAUGACAGACAGGUAGCUAUAGACUGACAGACAGGUGGCUAUAGACUGAUACACAGGUAGCUCUAGACAGACAGACAGACAGACAGACAGACAGACAGGUAGCUCUAAACAGACAGACAGGUAGCUCUAGACAGACAGACAGGUAGCUCUAGACAGACAGACAGGUGGCUAUAGACUGAUACACAGGUAGCUGUAGACUGCCAGACAGGUCACUAAAGAUUGACAGACAGGUAGCUCUAGACCGACAGACAGGCAGCUCUAGACAGACAGUCAGACAGACAGGUAGCUCUAGACAGACAGACAGGUAGCUGUAGACAGACAGACAGGCAGCUGUAGACAGACAGACAGGUAGCUGUAGACAGACAGACAGGCAGCUGUAGACAGACUGACAGGUAGCUCUAGACAGACAGGUAGCUGUAGACAGACAGACAGACAGACAGACAGACAGGUAGCUCCAGACAGACAGACAGACAGACAGGUAGCUGAGUCUAGACAGACAGACAGGUAGCUGCAGACAGACAGACAGGCAGCUGUAGACAGACAGACAGGCAGCUGUAGACAGACAGACAGGUAGCUCUAGACAGGUAGACAGUUAGCUCUAGACGGACAGACAGACAGACAGACAGGUAGCUGUAGACAGACAGACAGGCAGCUCUAGACAGACUGACAGGCAGCUGUAGACAGACAGACAGGUAGCUCUAGACAGAUAGACAGUUAGCUCUAGACGGACAGACAGACAGGCAGCUGUUGACAGACAGACAGGCAGCUGUAGAGGUGGGGCUAGGAGAGCAGAGGCAGUGAGUGGGUGCUGGCGGCGUUGUACCCGCAGCAGGAGGGGGAGGGAGGGGGGCUGGGAGAGGAGGGGGGAGGAGGGGGAUGGGUGGAGGUGGGCCCCUGGGGCUCCCCCGUGGCCCCUGGUCCACAGCCCAUUGGGGCCCCGGGGCCCUGAGUUCGGCCCAGGGGCCUGCGCAGCGGGGUUGGGGAGCAGGAGGCCUGGCGGGGGAAGGGGGGCCCGCUAGGAGAGGAGAAGCCCCCAGACACAGAGUGGCGCCCGGGAGACACUUGGGGUCCGGAUGGGUGGGGGCGUCCCGGAGAGGGGUGGAGACCCACUGUGGUCCCGCCCACGCUGCCGGGGUACUCCGGGAGGUGUUGGGCCGAUCCCGGAGACUUGGGGAUUUAGGGGACUUGGG